rnacentral:rRNA from 1 species
GUAGGGGCCAAACGUUUGUCCGGAUUUAUUGGGCGUAAAGGGCUCGUAGGCGGUUCAACAAGUCGGUCGUGAAAACCCGGGGCUCAACCCCGGGACGCCGGUCGAAACUGUUGUGACUAGUGUCCGGUAGAGGUGAGUGGAAUUCUCGGUGUAGCGGUGGAAUGCGCAGAUAUCGAGAGGAACACCAGUUGCGAAGGCGGCUCACUGGGCCGGUACAGACGCUAAGGAGCGAAAGCAUGGGGAGCAAACAGGAUUAGAUACCCUGGUAGUCCAUGCCGUAAACGGUGAACACUAGGUGUGGCGGAUCAUUUGACGUCUGCCGUACCGUAGCUAACGCGUUAAGUGUUCCGCCUGGGGAGUACGGCCGCAAGGCUA